UGGAUCCAGACUUUGAUUAUGGCUCAGGACGAACGCUGGCGGCGUGCUUAACACAUGCAAGUCGAACGGAGAACUUAUUUCGGUAAGUUCUUAGUGGCGAACGGGUGAGUAACGCGUGGGCAACCUGCCCUCCAGUUGGGGACAACAUUCCGAAAGGGAUGCUAAUACCGAAUGUGCUCCCUCCUCCGCAUGGAGGAGGGAGGAAAGAUGGCCUCUGCUUGCAAGCUAUCGCUGGAAGAUGGGCCCGCGUCUGAUUAGCUAGUUGGUGGGGUAACGGCUCACCAAGGCGAUGAUCAGUAGCCGGUCUGAGAGGAUGAACGGCCACAUUGGGACUGAGACACGGCCCAAACUCCUACGGGAGGCAGCAGUGGGGAAUCUUCCGCAAUGGACGAAAGUCUGACGGAGCAACGCCGCGUGAGUGAUGAAGGUCUUCGGAUUGUAAAACUCUGUUGUUAGGGACGAAAGCACCGUGUUCGAACAGGUCAUGGUGUUGACGGUACCUAACGAGGAAGCCACGGCUAACUACGUGCCAGCAGCCGCGGUAAUACGUAGGUGGCAAGCGUUGUCCGGAAUUAUUGGGCGUAAAGAGCAUGUAGGCGGGCUUUUAAGUCUGACGUGAAAAUGCGGGGCUUAACCCCGUAUGGCGUUGGAUACUGGAAGUCUUGAGUGCAGGAGAGGAAAGGGGAAUUCCCAGUGUAGCGGUGAAAUGCGUAGAUAUUGGGAGGAACACCAGUGGCGAAGGCGCCUUUCUGGACUGUGUCUGACGCUGAGAUGCGAAAGCCAGGGUAGCAAACGGGAUUAGAUACCCCGGUAGUCCUGGCCGUAAACGAUGGAUACUAGGUGUAGGAGGUAUCGACCCCUUCAGUGCCGGAGUUAACGCAAUAAGUAUCCCGCCUGGGGACUACGAUCGCAAGAUUGCAACUCAAAUGAAUUGACGGA
rnacentral:rRNA from 1 species